rnacentral:rRNA from 1 species
GACGUAGGGGGCGAGCGUUGUCCGGAUUUAUUGGGCGAAAAGCGUGCGUAGGCGGCUGCGCAAGUCGGUUGUGAAACCCCGGGGCUCAACCCCGGAACUGCAUCCGAUACUGCGUGGCUAGAGGUAGGUAGGGGAGAUCGGAAUUCCUGGUGUAGCGGUGAAAUGCGCAGAUAUCGGGAGGAACACCGGUGGCGAAGGCGGAUCUCUGGGCCUUACCUGACGCUCAGGCACGAAAGCUAGGGGAGCGAACAGG